GCGGAGCUUGUACACCAAGCCGUGCAGACGAGCUCCUGCCAAACGGGCAAAAAACAGGGCAAAUGCGGAGGAAAUAUGACCCAAAGCCCUCCACGGGUGCACCACCCACGUUGGGGGUGCCCCGCCGACCCGAUAGACACUACCUCGGGGCCAGGAGCGUGGAGACCCAAGCGCGGCCUACUGGGGCUGGAGCGGGGGAGAGACGGCUGCUAUCCUCAAUGCAGAGGCCCCCAAGCGACUUACCUCCAACCUACCCCCCCUGGACCGGUGGGGGAUAUCCCGGUCCCCACUUGACGAAGUGACCAGCAUGAAAAGCAGACCAACCAGCCACACGGCAAACAGGGGUGACAGGCCUCCACAGCACAGCCAAGAUGGCUGCCCAACGCAGACCUCCAGAGCGGAGCACCCACAGCAAGUCGUCCCCGCCACUAAAGGGGACCUUUGACUGGCUCUGCAAAUGUUUAAUGGACGCACUGCACAGUCGAGGCGCGACCUACCUCCAAGCGGAAAUCCUGUUGGCCUCGUGGAUCUGUCCAGCAAUGCGGCGCAACCAUUACAGACGCACACCAUGAGCCUCAAAAGCGGCCGUCCGGCAGCGCAGAAUCCUGCAGUCCCCAAGGCGGGAAAAGAUGCCACGCUUCUCCGGCGCAAGCACCCACCCGCAACCACUCUACAGUGAGACCUCCACACAAGCGGCACCUAAAAAGCUUUCACCAAACCAGCUUCUCAGUGUCUGGUACGGCAUGGCCCGACUCCCUGCCACCAGCGACACAGACCGAGAGAUCGGGCGGCCGCAUACCCCUCAAGACACCAUCGGAGCUGGCUCCCAGCACAGUGGCACCCUGCUCAGGAGCUCCAGGGGAGGGCGCAGACCGCCACACCGGGAGGACUCUAAGAUCCUGCAGGGCAUCGGCUGACCGACGCCACAGACGUCCUGCUCUACCCCCAACUGUCCGCAUUUACACAGCAGACACACUCACCUUGUGAAGAUGGACAGUCAGGAGGGGUAACCAGAUAUAAAGUUUGUUUCAUCAGUUCUAACUUAGCUUGUUUCUCCUACUGCUCUAAUCUGCUAGAACCGUAUACUAGAUGUCAUUUCCCAACAUAAAGCUUGUAGCCUAAUAUUUAUAAAUAAGCAUGAUAUAUGUAUGUAACUUAGCUAUGUCUUAGCAAGCACAGUGGCUGUAAAGUAUAGCUUAGCGCAAACGUGAUCUCUAUUAGUCUUACUGUUUUACCGUGAUAUAAUCUGCUGCAAGGUUAGCGAGAACCACUAAAAGAUUAUUCAUAUCAAAUGCGUAGGCUUAAUAAAUAUGAUAGAUAGAUCUGUUAUACCUAAUGUAAUACACAGCAGAGAGGGAGGAGGACUAAAACUAAAUAGCUGCUAACUGGAACGAUAGGGAUCCACUAAAAGCCUAUACAAUAGAAAGGAAAAAGCACUAAAAAGUGAUAAAACACUAAAAAGUGUAAAAGAUCCAGGAGCUAUCUAGUAUAUGGCUCAAAAAUAUGAAUAUGAAAUGCUGGAUAAAAUACUAUAUAAAAUACUACAAGGAUGCAACAAUAAAAAUGUGACAAUAAAAAUGUGUGCUAUGCCUUUAAGAGAAAUGAGUAUCAAUAAAUCGGAGAUGGGACUAAGUGAUGCAACUGAUAAGUUCUAAAAAAAUAGCCAUAAAAGGUAUAUAAAACAGUAUAUAAAUCAAAUGGUAGGAAAAAAAUAAAAAAAAUAAAAAUGAAUAAAUAGAUAAUGUUCCAAACAAUGCAAGGUGCAGUAACACACUGUCCCUGAAAGGGUACAGGAUAACAGAUAGUUUAUACUUACACCUAAAUAAUAUACUUUGUAUAGACAAAGUUGCAAAUGUAGCACUACAGUAUAAGGAACUGUGUGCUAAAAUAAAAAAUAUAACGUGGAUACAUAUAAACAAUGUAGAGAGAGAAAAACUAGGUUAAAAUAUAGAGUCCAGUUUAUUGAAAAUAUGAAUUAAAAUAGGAAUUAAUCAAAAAAUAAUGGUCAGUUCAUAUGCAGAUAUAUGUUACCAGUCCAAUGAAGUCCACAAAAUUUCAAAGACCCUCGGAAUCAGCCAGGAUGGAUGUGGAUUGAACUGGCAGCUAAUGCCCUGUAGUCUGACUGCCGGUUGAGGACGGCGUGCAGAUCAAUGUGUGUCCCAACACGGACCUCACUCCGGGGGAUGUGCACAACGGAUGUUUUGAGUCCACAGGUUCACCAAGGGUCCUGAGCGAGUAAAUACUUCUAUUGCUGGUUUCUGACAAAGUUCAAAACAAUGCUUGUUGUCUAACGCGUUUCGUGGGGAAGUGGCCCCACUUCUUCAGAGACGUAAUACAAGCUGAUAUUGUAGCCACGCUUAAAUACAUAUUGUGCUAAUUGAUAUGGAACAUUAAAAUGACAGCAAAUAUAAUAAAAAUAAAAAUAAAUAAUAAAUGUAUGCCGAGAGCGUCAUCAACAUUAAAAAUAUAUAAAAAAGUAUAU